AGCUUUGCGCAGUGGCAGUAUCGUAGCCAAUGAGGUUUAUCCGAGGCGUGAUUAUUGCUAAUUGAAAGAGUUAAAAGAUUAGUGGUUGCCAGGGAUUUAAAAAAAAAAGAGUCCUGGAACACUGAGGGCUCUGAGUCAAUAGGAGAG